CUCCCUGGCAAUGGGCAAAGGCAGCCCUUGUUGGUGGUGAUGUUCUUAUGUCAGUCAAGGGCAGAACAGAUGGCAGUCCUUUGUUCAUCCUCAGUUGACUCCUGGCUUGGUAGACAAAGCUAUUUUAUGCCUAGGACGCAUAC